rnacentral:lncRNA from 1 species
GAUAAUUUGAGACACGUUGAGGAAUGAGUGCAUAAAAACAUGUUGUGUAAUCAUGUGUAAAUAAAUUUACUGCUGUGAAUAAAAAGAUUUCUUCAAAGGUACACUGAGCUCCCUAUGGGAGCAGCUUGGAAGACCAUGAAAAUUAUGACUUCAUACCUCCCCUGCUUGGUUCCAGGAAUUAUUUUAAGUGUAAUGACUGCUCUGAAUUACUUUUAUCUCUGUUAUUAAUAUUACAUUGACAUUGUCUUGUUUCUUUGUAAAGUUUUGAGGACAAGAAAGCCAUAACCUUAUCUUUGAGGCAUCUUCCUCCAGCCUGUUCCCCUCAGCCCUCCCAAGCUGACAGGAGAAAUAUCUGCCUCAUCUUUCAAGGUUCAUGGCAGGAUAAAGAGAGUUAAUAACCAAGUGACCUAAAGAAAGAAACACAUCUUUCAUUCUUUUUUCCAUGUUCUUUUUCAGUGCUGCCACACAGAGGCAGAGUUGAGGCUGCUUCUAAAGGGAAGGAGUGAAGGAAGAAAAUCCUUUUUGGUUAGAAAUUACCUGGAUUUCCUGCUGGGGACACCCCAUCACCCUUCAAGACUUUUUCCUUAUCCAAGAACUCUUGGUUUAGGUUGUUUUCCUAAGAGCUGCUGGGUUUUGAUACAGGAUGAAGGAUGAUGAAAUAAGAGAGCCCUGUGUCAUCAAGAAAUCAUCUUUUCUUGAUGAUG